CUACGGGCUGCUGCAGUGGGGAAUAUUGGGCAAUGGGCGCAAGCCUGACCCAGCAACGCCGCGUGAGGGAAGAAUGUCUUCGGAUUGUAAACCUCUGUCCUUGGGGACGAAAAAAAUGACGGUACCCAAGGAGGAAGCUCCGGCUAACUACGUGCCAGCAGCCGCGGUAAUACGUAGGGAGCAGGCGUUGUCCGGAAUUAUUGGGCGUAAAGGGUGCGUAGGCGGCGCUGUAAGUCAGAUGUGAAAUCCCCGGGCUUAACUCGGGAGUUGCAUUUGAAACUACAGUGCUUGAGUAAAGAAGGGGUAAGUGGAAUUCCUAGUGUAGCGGUGGAAUGCGUAGAUAUUAGGAGGAACACCAGUGGCGAAGGCGACUUACUGGUCUUUUACUGACGCUGAGGCACGAAAGCGUGGGGAGCAAACAGGAUUAGAUACCCUCGUAGUC
rnacentral:rRNA from 1 species